rnacentral:tRNA from 1 species
AGCCCUGUAGUGUAGUUCACACCGGAUUGCAAGUCCGGAGACGCAGAUUAAUACUUUGCCGGGGCUU